rnacentral:rRNA from 11 species
AGUCUUGCAAGUUUCUGACCUCUCAGCUUGUGAUGGGGUUGUUCCCACCAUGGCAAUGGCGGGGUCACAGAGAAUUGGGGUUCCAGUCUGGAGAGGGAGCCACAGAAAUGGGUUACCGCCAAAUGAGGGCAGCAGGCGCGCAAAUUUCCCAAUCCUGACACUGGGAGGCUAGUGACAAGAAAUGACAAAACAGG